rnacentral:rRNA from 1 species
AAUCAACGCUGGCGGCGUGCCUAACACAUGCAAGUCGAACGCGAGAGGGCUUCGGCCCUGAUUGAGUGGCAAACGGGUGAGUAACGCGUGGGUGACCUACCUUCGAGUGGGGGAUAACGUUCCGAAAGGGACGCUAAUACCGCAUAACAUCCUGUCUUUGGACAGAUGGAGAUCAAAGCCGGGAUCGUAAGACCUGGCGCUUGAGGAGGGGCCCGCGUCCGAUUAGCUAGUUGGUGGGGAUGGCCUACCAAGGCGACGACGGGUAGCCGGCCUGAGAGGGCGACCGGCACACUGGGACUGAGACACGGCCAGACUCCUACGGGAGGCAGCAGUGGGGAAUAUUGGACAAUGGGCGCAAGCCUGAUCCAGCCAUGCCGCGUGAGUGA